GCAUCUAUGCAAGACAACAUCUAUGCGUCCCCCUGGCGCCCAGGACACGGGACCUGACCCAACCGGAAACAGCUUCCCCUCGGGCGCCAAGGGCAGCUGAGUGAGGAUGCAGGCAGAAUUUGUGGCAGUGGUCCUGGGGGGAUGCUCCCAGGAGAAGGGGAUCAGCCGUGGCCUCCUUCUCCCCUUCCUGAAGCCCAUUCCAGCGUCUGCUCUCCCCCUUCUCAGGAUGGCAUAAGCAGGACGGAGGAUACCCCCCCCAGCUGCUGGGGCCCCAGAGGGAGCCUGCGUCUCUCGGCUCCGGCAGCCGGAAUGAAGGCUGCGCUAGCUGUUACUCAGAUCUGCAGUCUGUGCCAGGAGCUGGGCCUGAAGGAAGGAAGGUCCUUGCAGGUUACCUCGGCUUUUUGGUCCAUCAGGUUCUAAGAGGUACUGAUAGGCUAUUUUGCCCAUCAGGACCCAAUACCCUUCCCUGCCCCCCAACUUGGAGCCGACCUUGGACCCUCCCAGCUGAGCCCAAGAGGGGACUUGGCGUGCAGGCUGCGUUAAAGGGCUGAUUGGGAGACACUGAGAACUGAUUGCCUUUCUGAAGAGCCACUUUACCCUGGAACAAAUAGGGAGAUGAGAUUCUUCAAACUGUGCUCUCAAGUGAACCACUUCUCGGAAAUCAGACGCUGAUCAAAGAUCUCAAGUUCUGCUUUACAUAAAAGACCCAGACGUGUUAAUACACGCUGUCAGUUCCCUGAGAUUUGGAAAUGCAGGGGUUUUACGGAUUUUUUUUUUUUUUUUUUUUUGGUUGUGCCUGCCAGCGUGUAGAAAUUCCCAGGCCAGGGAUGGAACUCACGCCACCGCAGAGACCCACGCCACGGCAGUGACGACUCUGGAUCCUUCAUCCACUGAGCCACCGGGGGACGCCAGGAAAUACAGCUGUAACCAAAACAAGAAGUGCAUAAUCCCUGCCUCCAAACACUCUCUUCCUUUAUUAAUUUUGUAAGUAUGGUGGAUUC
rnacentral:lncRNA from 1 species